rnacentral:rRNA from 1 species
UUCCCUGCCAGAGGUUACUGCUAUCGAGGUUCGACUAAGCCAUGCGAGUCGAAUGUAGCAAUACAUGGCGAACUGCUCAGUAACACGUGGACAACCUACCCUCAGGUCUGGGAUAACCCCGGGAAACUGGGAAUAAUACCGGAUAUGGCGCGAAUGCUGGAAUGCGUCGCGCAAGAAAGCUCCGGCGCCUAAGGAUGGGUCUGCGGCCUAUCAGGGUAGUAGUGGGUGUAAUGGACCUACUAGCCUACGACGGGUACGGGUUGUGAGAGCAAGAGCCCGGAGAUGGAUUCUGAGACACGAAUCCAGGCCCUACGGGGUGCAGCAGGCGCGAAAACUUUACAAUGCUGGAAACAGCGAUAAGGGGACCUCGAGUGCCAGGAUACAAUCCUGGCUGUCGUAAUGCCUAAAAAGCAUUGCAUAGCAAGGGCCGGGCAAGACCGGUGCCAGCCGCCGCGGUAACACCGGCGGCUCGAGUGGUAACCGCUAUUAUUGGGUCUAAAGGGUCUGUAGCCGGCUGGAUAAGUCUCUUGGGAAAUCCGGCAGCUUAACUGUCGGGCUUUCAGGAGAUACUGUCCGGCUCGAGACCGGGAGAGGUGAGAGGUACUUCAGGGGUAGGGGUGAAAUCUUGUAAUCCUUGAAGGACCACCAGUGGCGAAGGCGUCUCACCAGAACGGAUCUGACGGCAAGGGACGAAAGCUAGGGGCACGAACCGGAUUAGAUACCCGGGUAGUCCUAGCCGUAAACGAUACUCGCUAGGUGUCGGCCACGGUGCGACCGUGGUCGGUGCCGUAGGGAAGCCGUGAAGCGAGCCACCUGGGAAGUACGCGCCGCAAGGCUGAAACUUAAAGGAAUUGGCGGGGGAGCACUACAACGGGUGGAGCUUGCGGUUAUAUUGUACUCAACGCCGGGGACUCUAGAAGAUCCCCGG